UCGCCGUCAUUCCUUUAAUGGAUCUAGAUUAGAUUCCACUUCAUCCCGUAAAAUCCUAACACCGGAAGGAAAAUACAUAUUUUUAUGUUGAUUUUCGAGAUAUGGUGGUUUAUGGCACAAAAGUGGGUUGAUGAAGAAGUGGUUUCUUACUAUGUUUUAUUCUUUCCUUGUUUUUAACAAUAUAUUAUUAGUAUAAGUUUUGUGGGGAUUAAUUUAGAUAUGCUAAAAUCAGAAAUUUUUGCCCUUUAAUUCCCAUCCCACGAAUAAUUAUUGGUUUCAAAGGAAUAAGACGGUAAUGUAAUCCCCGGGCAGCACCAAUGCAUAUCUGGGUAUGCUGUGCUCAUUUGAGACGGAUGCAUUCAAAAAACAGAGUUGCAUCCGUGUCACAUAAGCUCAGCCUUUCAAGAUGUGCAUUUGGGCUGCCCUAGGAUUAUACUACUUUCUUAAUCCUUCGUUAGAUGGGAAUUAUGAAGCCAAGAUUUUUGGUUUUGGCCUUUCUACAAUAAGCCCUGCAGUGACUGGUUUUGUAUUUUCAGAUUGUAAUCUUCUAUUGCUUGAAUGCUUUGAACAUGUGUAUGGUAUGUGGUUUGCAAAUGUUGUUCUCAA